GAGAAGUUUUAUUCUUGCUUUUUCGUUCAUUUUGUGCUUGUUCUAUAUGUAAGUUUUUGCGUGGUUAGUUUAGGUUUAAUGUUCUUGAUGGAUUUGAUUUAUUUUGUGUGGUUUUUUAUUUUCAUUAGUUAUUAUUGGUUGGUCAAGUAUUCUUGUAUCUAGCAAUUCAAUUUAUGUCUCGGUUAAAUUUUGUGCCAGCAGCCGCGGUUAUACCUUGGAGGCGUUUGAACGUGUUUGGUUUAAAUUCGGUAGUUUUAUGUUUAUUUGUGGUUGAUUUUUUGUUUAUUUGUUGUUAGGUGAAAUUUUUAUUUAUGUUGUUGUUAUUAAUUUGUUUGGAGGCUGUGAAAUUCUUAUUGUAAACUAGGAUUAGAUACCCUAUUAUUUUUGAUUGUUAAUUUUUUGUGCUUGAGUAGUAUUAGUUAUGUUCUUGAAACUUAAAGAAUUUGGCGGUAUCUCAUUCCAUUCAGAGGAAUCUGUCUCGUUAUCGAUAGUCCGCGUUGGACCUUACUUGGGUUAAUAUGGUUUGUAUACCGCCGUUUAUUGAUUAUCUUUUUAGAGUUGAUUUAAUUUUCUGGUUUCUUUAUUUUGAUUUAUUUCAGGUCAAGGUGCAGCUUUUUCUAAGUGUAUGAUGGAUUACAUUGUUAUUUGUUUUUGGAUUGUUUAAUUUUAAUGUUUGCAUGAAAUUGGAUUUGGUUGUAAUGUUUUGUAGCUUGUUUUCGUGAUAAUUGGUUCUGAGAUAUGUACACAUCGCCCGUCGCUCUCGUUUAUUGUUUAAUGAGAUAAGUCGUAACAAAGUGGUUGUACCGGAAGGUGCGGCUGGAUUGAU
rnacentral:ncRNA from 1 species